AGUGAACGCUGGCGGCGUGCUUAACACAUGCAAGUCGAACGCGAAAGGGGAGCAAUCCCCGAGUAGAGUGGCGAACGGGUGAGUAAUGUGUGGGUAAUUUGCCUUUCAGCGGGGGAUAACUCGGGGAAACCUGAGCUAAUACCCCAUAAUGUUGCUUGAUCUUCGGGUCGAGUAAUCAAACGAUGGCCUCUGCUUGCAAGCUAUCGCUGAAAGAUGAGCCCACAUCCUAUCACGCUUGUUGGUGGGGUAAUGGCCUACCAAGGCGACGACGGGUAGCCGGCCUGAGAGGGUGUACGGCCACACUGGAACUGAGACACGGUCCAGACUCCUACGGAGGCAGCAGUGGGGAAUUUUUCGCAAUGGGCGAAAGCCUGACGAAGCAACGCCGCGUGUAGGG
rnacentral:rRNA from 1 species